GGCGCCGUGUGGCACAGUUUCCGGUUAAAAGCGCGCCUGUCUAGUAAAAUCAGGAGUUUACGAGUUCGAAUCUCGUCGGCGCCU